CCUACGGGAGGCUGCAGUGGGGAAUAUUGGACAAUGGGCGAAAGCCUGAUCCAGCCAUGCCGCGUGUGUGAAGAAGGCCUUCGGGUUGUAAAGCACUUUCAGUGGGGAAGAAAGCCUUGGGGCUAAUACCCUCGAGGAAGGACAUCACCCACAGAAGAAGCACCGGCUAACUCCGUGCCAGCAGCCGCGGUAAUACGGAGGGUGCGAGCGUUAAUCGGAAUUACUGGGCGUAAAGCGCGCGUAGGCGGUCUGAUAAGCCGGUUGUGAAAGCCCCGGGCUCAACCUGGGAACGGCAUCCGGAACUGUCAGGCUAGAGUGCAGGAGAGGAAGGUAGAAAUCCCGGUGUAGCGGUGAAAUGCGGAGAGAUCGGGAGGAAUACCAGUGGCGAAGGCGGCCUUCUGGACUGACACUGACGCUGAGGUGCGAAAGCGUGGGUAGCAAACAGGAUUAGAUACCCCAGUAGUC
rnacentral:rRNA from 1 species